ensembl:snRNA
AAAAAGAGCUUCUGUUAUGUGUGGCACAUGUGGGGCAGCUCAAUUGCUCUUCCUGCGGAAUCAACAUCAAGAGGUUUGGGAAGCAUAAGUUUUGGUACUUGGGCAGCUGGUGCUCAUUGAUCCCAGCAAGUCUA